CUGAAGUCCGUUGACUCAGAGUGGACGUCGCCAUUUUACAAGCUGUCACGAGAAUUUUAAAUUCCAAUGAUAAUAACUGACAAUCAAUAACUCUGACCAAUCCCCGAGAUCUGUAAGACCUCGGGUUUAAUAAUAAUUAGUCAAAGACUCAGCUUAUGCAAAAAGAUACUACAGUUUAUUCAGAGAACGUUCUAAAGUCCAUUAUACAAAGACAUCCAUUUUAUUGCACAUACUUCCACACAAACAGUAGGUAUCCUACGCACAUACUUCCACACAAACAGUAGGUAUCCUACGCACAUACUUCCACACAAACAGUAGGUAUCCUACGCACAUACUUCCACACAAACAGCAGGUAUCCUACGCACAUACUUCCACACAAACAGUAGGUAUCCUACGCACAUACUUCCACACAAACAGUAGGUAUCCUACGCACAUACUUCCACACAAACAGUAGGUAUCCUACGCACAUACUUCCACACAAACAGUAGGUAUCCUACGCACAUACUUCCACACAAACAGUAGGUAUCCUACGCACAUACUUCCACACAAACAGUAGGUAUCCUACGCACAUACUUCCACACAAACAGUAGGUAUCCUACGCACAUACUUCCACACAAACAGUAGGUGAGUUUUAUCCUUCUCCGUAGUUCUCACCACUGUGUAUCACGACCCAGCCGACAGUUCCAUUCCCCCGAGAUUAGGGAAACCUUGAGAAAUACUCCCUAUGCUAUCAUAAAUUCCUCAGAGGCCUAGCCAGGUCGGUCCAAACACAGUUUUAAUUGUUCUUCAGUAUUUUCCUGGGCACACACACACACAAGUUCAAAUCUUAAACUAGCCUUGCUCAGACAGUCUGUGUUUUUCCACUAUACAGAUACAUUGUUUAACACAAUUCCGACUAAACCUACACACAUCAUCAGAUUGUAAUUUUAUGAUUCUAAUCAAUUUCAUACAGUUAUAAGGUUUCAGAGUGGAAUUAUGUUAUCAUUAUCUUGGGUGGUUCUGUAGCUCAGUUGGUAGAGCAUGGCGCUUGUAACGCCAGGGUAGUGGGUUCGAU